GACGAACGCUGGCGGCGUGCCUAAUACAUGCAAGUUGAGCGCUGAAGGUUGGUACUUGUACCAACUGGAUGAGCAGCGAACGGGUGAGUAACGCGUGGGGAAUCUGCCUUUGAGCGGGGGACAACAUUUGGAAACGAAUGCUAAUACCGCAUAAAAACUUUAAACACAAGUUUUAAGUUUGAAAGAUGCAAUUGCAUCACUCAAAGAUGAUCCCGCGUUGUAUUAGCUAGUUGGUGAGGUAAAGGCUCACCAAGGCGAUGAUACAUAGCCGACCUGAGAGGGUGAUCGGCCACAUUGGGACUGAGACACGGCCCAAACUCCUACGGGAGGCAGCAGUAGGGAAUCGUCGGCAAGGGACGAAAGUCUGACCGAGCAACGCCGAGUGAGUGAAGAAGGUUGUCGGAUCGUAAAACUCUGUUGGUAGAGAAGAACGUUGGUGAGAGUGGAAAGCUCAUCAAGUGACGGUAACUACCCAGAAAGGGACGGCUAACUACGUG
rnacentral:rRNA from 1 species